rnacentral:rRNA from 1 species
AAAGAUGGUUUCGGCUAUCACUUUAGGAUGGACCCGCGGUGCAUUAGUUAGUUGGUGAGGUAAAGGCUCACCAAGACCGUGAUGCAUAGCCGACCUGAGAGGGUAAUCGGCCACACUGGGACUGAGACACGGCCCAGACUCCUACGGGAGGCAGCAGUAGGGAAUCUUCCACAAUGGACGAAAGUCUGAUGGAGCAACGCCGCGUGAGUGAAGAAGGUUUUCGGAUCGUAAAACUCUGUUGUUGGAAAAGAACGUAUUUGAUAGUAACUGAUCAGGUAGUGACGGUAUCCAACCAGAAAGCCACGGCUAACUACGUGCCAGCAGCCGCGGUAAUACGUAGGUGGCAAGCGUUGUCCGGAUUUAUUGGGCGUAAAGCGAGCGCAGGCGGUUUCUUAAGUCUGAUGUGAAAGCCUUCGGCUCAACCGAAGAAGUGCAUCGGAAACUGGGAAACUUGAGUGCAGAAGAGGACAGUGGAACUCCAUGUGUAGCGGUGAAAUGCGUAGAUAUAUGGAAGAACACCAGUGGCGAAGGCGGCUGUCUGGUCUGUAACUGACGCUGAGGCUCGAAAGCAUGGGUAGCAAACAGGAUUAGAUACCCUGGUAGUCCAUGCCGUAAACGAUGAGUGCUAGGUGUUGGAGGGUUUCCGCCCUUCAGUGCCGCAGCUAACGCAUUAAGCACUCCGCCUGGGGAGUACGACCGCAAGGUUGAAACUCAAAGGAAUUGACGGGGGCCCGCACAAGCGGUGGAGCAUGUGGUUUAAUUCGAAGCAACGCGAAGAACCUUACCAGGUCUUGACAUCCUUUGACCACUCUAGAGAUAGAGCUUUCCCUUCGGGGACAAAGUGACAGGUGGUGCAUGGUUGUCNUCAGCUCGUGUCGUGAGAUGUUGGGUUAAGUCCCGCAACGAGCGCCACCCUUAUUACUAGUUGCCAG